rnacentral:lncRNA from 1 species
AGUCUGUAAGGAAUGCAACACCACUGUUAAUGUUAACUGAACACAUUUACGUAUGUUGAAAGUAACUACAGUGCAACCUCUGUAGAGCAACACCCUUUGGGAGAUACAAAUAUUGACUGUUGUGUAGAGGUUGUUGUUACGGAGACUCAAAGGUCAAUACAUAAAAAACAACAGAGAAAAGAUGGGAAAUGGUGGUCUAGUGGUUAUGGUGUCGGCAGCGCAACUCGGAGAUUACGAGUUUGAGUCCCACUGGCGUCAUGACAACAACUUCUCAUAUGAGAGUGGUUCGGUUCAAUUAAGUUUGAGUCUUUCAUCACAAUCUUGCUAUAAUUAAUAGAUAUAACAUAAGCAUGGUUAAAAGAAUGUGAAUUACUUUUAUGCACUUCGAUUAUGCACUAUUUCUAAGUCUGUUUAGAUUUGAUUGAACCAUUUCUUGCAUACCAGACCGGAAUUUCUAGUGAUUUCAUUGCUGCUGGAAAACUCUAUCUUACAACCAAGAGUGACCCUCGUGCUGUAAAUGACGUAUAACGAACUACAUCUAUGUAGCAGAAGCUCGUGUAGUAAUAAUAAUGAUUUUACUUAAAAUCGGAUAAAAAUCAAAUACCUUAAUAGUUUCACAUUAUUCCUUACAAUAAAUAUUCAGAUUAAUAAAAGCUAUUUUACGGAAAAAACAUAACGCUUCACUACAGAUGAUAGAACAAAAGCGGAAUUAUUACGUUGCAUUUUUUUUUUAACAUUGCAACAUCAUGACGUUCCUGUUUAUGGACGUAUCGCUCCCGCACUUUGUUAAUGCGCUAUAGAAAAAAGUGCUGUGAGAAAGUAUUUGGUUUGAAUCUAUUUUACUAAAAUUUGUUGACUAUGGCAUGUAAGAUAAAGAUUCAAUCAUUGAUGGUAAGUGCAUAUGAAAAUAUCCGGCUCUCGGGUAACUACUUACGCGGUACCUCGACAGAGAAUCGUUACCGCUAAAACAGUUACCGUUGAGCCGGACAUUCCCAUCUGAAACUACCACCAGUGAAAGAAGACGCGAAGGUAGAUAAGUGGGUAUAGUCACGAAAUAUCCUUUUCGAUUUGCCAUCUGCUUGUAAGAGUAGUCCUUCGCUUCCAAAACCAGAAAACGUACUUGGAAAAUGGAAGUUAUAUUCCACUUUGGAACUGAAUAUUUUUUAAAGCAGGCCACAAAUGAUGCACCCCAGUGGGGUAUCUUGAAGGUGUUCCUUAAACGGAAAAACCGGCCAAUUUGAAUAAAACUACUGAAGUAUGUGUGUAUUUGUCACUACAUGUUUAUUUGAUACUUAUGGGGUAUUUGAGACUUACAGUUACUAUCGCGACAAAAUACAUAACUGAGAACACCUGAAAUUGUCGUACAGGAUGUGCCGGUGUGAACAGCAAUAACAACUACAUUAUAUCGACGCGUUAGAUAAUACAUGUAUCAAUCGGAUCAUUUUAAGAGAAUCCGUUGACAUUUUUCUCAUAAAGUUUUGCUGCAUUUGUUGAUGUGUGGUAUUCAUAAAAUAGAAGACAAUGAAUACCAAAACUUUACAGACACUUAGCGGAGCAAUAAUCGAUAGUUGGUAAGUUGAUAUAGUACUUGAAAAUUUGAAAUCCAUUUAAAGGUGACCAUUCAAUAGAAAUUUGAUAACGCCUGCCAUUUUAGUAAUUGCACAGAAAUUAACAAUAUGAAUAGUGUUUGAAAUGCACAUAAAAGUAGCAGU